rnacentral:ncRNA from 18 species
GUCAACAACCCAACGACUAAAGUCGUGGGCUUGUAAAAGCCCCUGUUGACUAGCCUAAGUCUUUCGAGGACUACGUUGGAUUGGUCACGACACCUUACGGUGCGGAUUCUAGCUGUAAGCCCUGUC